GGGGGAAUGAUAUAGCACAUGCUUAGCAUGCAUGAGGUCCUGGGUUCAAUUCCCAGUACUUCCU
rnacentral:tRNA from 1 species